AACCCCCUUUUCACUUUGCCAAUUGGACUUAUGUCUUUAUUGAUCAUUCAAGUGAGCAAAGGAAAUAACGCUUUAAAAACUCAAGCAAACGGGUGUUUGUCUUGUAUUCCCAUCAGAGGAAAACAAAU
rfam:Pongo abelii chromosome 16.